rnacentral:rRNA from 1 species
UACGUAGGGUGCGAGCGUUGUCCGGAAUUACUGGGCGUAAAGAGCUCGUAGGCGGUUUGUCGCGUCGGGAGUGAAAACACACAGCUUAACUGUGUGCUUGCUUCCGAUACGGGCAGACUAGAGGUAUGCAGGGGAGAACGGAAUUCCUGGUGUAGCGGUGAAAUGCGCAGAUAUCAGGAGGAACACCGGUGGCGAAGGCGGUUCUCUGGGCAUUACCUGACGCUGAGGAGCGAAAGUGUGGGGAGCGAACAGG